CCUGUGUUGCUUACCCCUGGAAUGGAAUUUGAUGGAUUUGGUGUCCCCAUCCGCCUUGCGCCCUUCGGGGUGCGGGGUGGACUCGAGUCGGGCUCCGUGUUCCCCGCGUGUCGAGUGCGUUGUCGCUCGGCCGCUGUGGCCCAUGGGGUCUUGGCCGUGCUCUCGGAUGCGGAAUGCUUGGUGUGGGCGCGGGGUCUCGGCCUCUGCUCGUCCGAGCUGCACGCAUUGUCCCUUGACUUGAACGACCGCCCCGCCCGUCUUGAUCGGCCGACCGAGCCCCCGUCGCGGGGCUUCGGGAGGGCGGUUCAUGCGGGUCUCGGCGUCGGGGAGGAAUGC
rnacentral:misc_RNA from 1 species